rnacentral:lncRNA from 1 species
AUGAAAAAAAAAAAAUCUUCACUCCCUUCCAAAGUCAAAAUAGCUGAGUUCCCCCAGCACAGCUCAGGCUCCCUGUCACCGAGCCUAACUCCUCGUAGAGCAGCGCACAGGCUGCGGAGACAACGAGGAAAGCGUUGCCCACCCUGCCCGCCUCCCUUACCUGCCGUCUGCCCACGCCGCGCCCGAAGCGCACAGCACCGCUGUGCUCCGCGCUCCCCCGGGCCGCGCCGCGCCGCGCCAGGAGUGGGAGACGUGCGUGUCACAUUUUAUUCCCCGGCAAGCCAGCCGCUCGCUCGGGCGCGCGCACUCUCACGGACGCCCUCUGGAGCAGGGACAACCCCCCGCCCCGGUGGGGGGCGCCGCGGAAGUUGGGGGCUGCAGACUCCCUCCGAGCGCGCGGCUCCGGUCCUGCUGCCAGCGACCCCGCGCUCGCGUCCCGGGCGCCCAGCGGGAUCAGUCCCCCGAGCCGAGGCUGCUCCGCACAGCCGGCAGCUGCAGGCGCGGGCGGCGGGGCGCGGCGGGCGGCUCGGCCUCGGAGCCGGCGCGGGGCUGCGCUCUGCCCGGUGCCGCGCACCUCAUUGUUCCUGGCAUCGGCGGCGGCGCGGGCGGCUGGAGGGACCAAGGCCCCCCAGCUCCGGGACAAGGCGGCGGCUCCCGGCCUGGGCGCGGAGGCUGUGCCGCGCCCCGCCCCCAAGCUGCGCGCACCCCCUCGCCCUCCCCUCCCCCGUCGUCUCCAGCCUCCCCCCUCCUGGCCUGGGCUCACCUAGCGGGUGGGCAGCGGGCACUGGGAAGUUGCACUGCCCCCCUCCCCGCGCCCUGGGCCCGACAGCUCGGACCGCGGGCGAGCGCAGGCGGGGCGCCCCCCGGCUACGCGCCGAGCCCUGCCUCUUGCGGAGAGUGAUUGCAGACUUGGGCUGCGUGGGGCGGCGCGGUUGCCUAAAAAGGCAUGUUUCUCCCCAGCCGCCGCCUCCACCCACCCCUAGUUCCUCCGUGGGUUACCUGCACAGCCCCUGCCUGGCACCGCGCCUAGCACCCGAGUACCACUGGAGUCCCCGCUGGCAGCUGGGAUGCAGGAAUGCGAACGGGCUGUGUAUAGAGGGGAGGAGAGCCCGGGAGCCUGGACCCGCGGAAGUCAGUCUUUGUGUCCCCAGCUCCAACACACACCCUCCCGCAGCUUCCAAGGCCCGGCUACCUGCGCGCCAGGCAGCGCCCAGGAGGCGGCCGGGCGGGGCGCGGGGCAGCACAGCAUCCUCCCCGGCCCGCUCUCUCCCUUUGUUCCACCAAGCUCGCCCGGCUCCGCGCUGCCUCCGGGCCCUCGCUCGCCGGAGCUUCUCCAAGGCGUCCGAGGAUUGA